CCCCUCAUAGCUUAGUGGUAGAGCGCUCGGCUGUAGCCCGAGAGAUCCCCAGUUCAAUUCUGGGUGGGGGGA
rnacentral:tRNA from 1 species